rnacentral:rRNA from 1 species
AACGAACGCUGGCGGCAGGCCUAACACGUGCAAGUCGAGCGCCCCGCAAGGGGAGCGGCGGACGGGUGAGUAACGCGUGGGAACGUGCCUCUUGCCUCGGAAUCGCCUCGGGAAACUGGGGGUAAUACCGAAUGUGCCCUACGGGGGAAAGAUUUAUCGGCAAGAGAUCGGCCCGCGUUGGAUUAGGUAGUUGGUGGGGUAAUGGCCUACCAAGCCGACGAUCCAUAGCUGGUUUGAGAGGAUGAUCAGCCACACUGGGACUGAGACACGGCCCAGACUCCUACGGGAGGCAGCAGUGGGGAAUCUUAGACAAUGGGCGCAAGCCUGAUCUAGCCAUGCCGCGUGAGCGAUGAAGGCCUUAGGGUUGUAAAGCUCUUUCGUGGGGGAAGAUAAUGACUGUACCCCAAGAAGAAGCCCCGGCUAACUCCGUGCCAGCAGCCGCCGUAA